rnacentral:lncRNA from 1 species
UUUAUUUCAUCUCACUCAUUGCUUCACCAUAUCUCUUCUAUUUUCAUCACAUUUUCCUAUUUGCUUCCUUCCCCAUAUCAGACCGGCCUUUUCCUUUCCUCUAUCCCACUUAUUCCAAUCUUCUAAUUUCUCUCCUACCGGUGUAGCAGGCCUCUUUUUUUCCAAUCUUCCAUAGCUGACGACGGCUCUGUGCUGCAAAUGUGAGAGUAAUUUUUGUUGGCCAAAGAAUCUCAUCUUGAUUGGUUGCCGACGGCUCUGUGCUCUGUGCUGCAAAUCUGAGUCUUUUUUGGGGGUUGUAUGGCUGCAAUGAAGGAGGAGUUAAAGUGGUGGAGUAUGGCUGCAAAUCUUUUUGGUGGAGUAUGGCUGCAAUCUGAUGACGACUCUCAUCUUUUUUGGGGGUUGAAUGGCUGCAAAUCUGAGUCUUUCUUUCUUUCUUUCUUUUUUAAAGUUGUUUAGAAACUAGAUCUAAUGAUCUUCAAGUUACAAGUGGGGUUUACGAAAACAGAUUUUGUGAUCUUGAAGUCCAAGAAAAAUACCGGUUGAUCCAUUAAUGGUCACUAUGAAGUUCUACAAUUCGGUUAAGAAGGAUGUUCUGCAAUUGGAUUAAGAACAAAAAGGAGAGAACAAAAAGAAAU